rnacentral:rRNA from 1 species
UGGGGAAUCUUGCACAAUGGGGGCAACCCUGAUGCAGCGACGCCGCGUGAGCGAUGAAGCCCUUCGGGGCGUAAAGCUCUUUCGACCGGAACGAUAAUGACGGUACCGGGAGAAGAAGCUGCGGUUAACUACGUGCCAGCAGCCGCGGUAAUACGUAGGCAGCAAGCGUUGUUCGGAGUUACUGGGCGUAAAGAGUGCGUAGGCGGUUUUCUAAGUUCGGUGUGAAAUCUCCCGGCUUAACUGGGAGGGUGCGCCGAAGACUGGGAAGCUGGAGUGUGGGAAAGGCAGGCGGAAUUCCUGGUGUAGCGGUGAAAUGCGUAGAUAUCAGGAGGAACACCGGCGGUGUAGACGGCUUGCUAGACCAUAACUGACGCUGAGGCACGAAAGCGUGGGUAGCAAACA